rnacentral:hammerhead_ribozyme from 1 species
AUCCAGCUGAUGAGUCCUAAAUAGGACGAAACUCUCGUCCUGUAU